rnacentral:tRNA from 1 species
GGGGGCGUAGCCCAGUUGGUUUACAGCGCUGCAGUCACAUUGCAGAGGUCAACAGUUCGAGCCUGUUCGUCCCCA